rnacentral:rRNA from 1 species
GCUUCGCUGAGGAUCGUGGAAGACUACCACGUUGAUAGGCCAGGUGUGGAAGUGGGGCGACCCAUGAAGCUUACUGGUACUAAUAAUCCGAUCGGCUUGAUCGUUUCUCA